rnacentral:rRNA from 1 species
CCAAUAGCGUAUAUUAAAGUUGUUGCAGUUAAAAAGCUCGUAGUUGAAUUUCGGGGUCAGUAGGCUGGUCGUGCCACAGGUAUGUACUGGUCUCACUGAUUCCUCCUUCCUGAUGAACCGUAAUGCCAUUAAUUUGGUGUUGCGGGGAAUCUGGACUGUUACUUUGAAAAAAUUAGAGUGUUUAAAGCAGGCUAACGCUUGAAUACAUUAGCAUGGAAUAAUGAAAUAGGACGAUCGAUCCUAUUUUGUUGGUUUCUAGGAUUGACGUAAUGAUUAAUAGGGAUAGUUGGGGGCAUUAGUAUUCAAUUGUCAGAGGUGAAAUUCUUGGAUUUAUUGAAGACUAACUACUGCGAAAGCAUUUGCCAAGGAUGUUUUCAUUAAUCAAGAACGAAAGUUAGGGGAUCGAAGACGAUCAGAUACCGUCGUAGUCUUAACCAUAAACUAUGCCGACUAGGGAUCGGAUGAUGUUAAUUUUUUAAUGACUCAUUCGGCGCCUUACG